rnacentral:rRNA from 1 species
UACAGGGGGGGCAAGCGUUGUUCGGAAUUACUGGGCGUAAAGGGCCAGUAGGCGGCCAACUAAGUCCGACGUGAAAUCCCCAGGCUUAACCUGGGAACUGCGUCGGAUACUGGAUGGCUUGAAUUCGGGAGAGGGAUGCAGAAUUCCAGGUGUAGCGGUGAAAUGCGUAGAUAUCAGGAGGAACACCGGUGGCGAAGGCGGGUCUCUGGGCCGAUACUGACGCUGGAGGAGCGAAAGCGUGGGGAGCGAACAGG